rnacentral:rRNA from 1 species
CCUACGGGAGGCAGCAGUGAGGAAUAUUGGUCAAUGGACGGAAGUCUGAACCAGCCAUGCCGCGUGCAGGAAGACGGCUCUAUGAGUUGUAAACUGCUUUUGUACAAGGGUAAACCUGAAUACGUGUAUUCAGCUGAAAGUACUGUACGAAUAAGGAUCGGCUAACUCCGUGCCAGCAGCCGCGGUAAUACGGAGGAUCCAAGCGUUAUCCGGAUUUAUUGGGUUUAAAGGGUGCGUAGGCGGAUUGAUAAGUUAGAGGUGAAAUGUCCGAGCUUAACUCGGGAACUGCCUCUAAUACUGUUGGUCUAGAGAGUGGAUGCGGUAGGCGGAAUGUAUGGUGUAGCGGUGAAAUGCUUAGAGAUCAUACAGAACACCGAUUGCGAAGGCAGCUUACCAAUCUAUAUCUGACGUUGAGGCACGAAAGCGUGGGGAGCAAACAGGAUUAGAUACCCCAGUAGUC